rnacentral:rRNA from 1 species
GACGGAGGAGGCAAGCGUUAUCCGGAAUUAUUGGGCGUAAAGCGUCCGCAGGCGGUUUUUUAAGUCUGUUGUCAAAGCCCACAGCUCAACUGUGGAUCGGCAAUGGAAACUGGGAGACUAGAGUGUGGUAGGGGUAGAGGGAAUUCCCGGUGUAGCGGUGAAAUGCGUAGAUAUCGGGAAGAACACCAGUGGCGAAGGCGCUCUACUGGGCCACAACUGACGCUGAGGGACGAAAGCUAGGGGAGCGAAAGGG